rnacentral:rRNA from 1 species
UACGAAGGGGGCUAGCGUUGCUCGGAAUCACUGGGCGUAAAGGGUGCGUAGGCGGGUCUUUAAGUCAGGGGUGAAAUCCUGGAGCUCAACUCCAGAACUGCCUUUGAUACUGAAGAUCUUGAGUUCGGGAGAGGUGAGUGGAACUGCGAGUGUAGAGAUGAAAUUCGUAGAUAUUCGCAAGAACACCAGUGGCGAAGGCGGCUCACUGGCCCGAUACUGACGCUGAGGCACGAAAGCGUGGGGAGCAAACAGG